rnacentral:rRNA from 1 species
GACGGAGGAUGCAAGCGUUAUCCGGAAUGAUUGGGCGUAAAGCGUCCGCAGGUGGCAGUUCAAGUCUGCUGUCAAAGACCGGGGCUCAACCUCGGAAAGGCAGUGGAAACUGAACAGCUAGAGUAUGGUAGGGGCAAAGGGAAUUCCUGGUGUAGCGGUGAAAUGCAUAGAUAUCGUCCAGAACGCCGAUUGCGAAGGCAGGUGGCUACGCUUCGUCUGACACUGAGGCACGAAAGCGUGGGGAGCGAACAGG